UUCAAGGAAUGCCAACACCCAAAUGUUACCCACUGCCCCCUAGUCACAGGGAAAAGGCGCUGGAUGGGAUUUCCCUGGAGCACGUGGCCUGCGGUGACCCAGCGCCACGAGGGUGAGCAGCCCGGGAAGAACCUGGCAGUCAGGACUGCAGCGUGUGCCUGGAUCCCCGCCGCGCUAGCUACGUGCCAAAGUCUCCCCUGCAAUUCAAAGUGCAGAUCAAUUUCCCUUUCUACCAGAAAGAUAGCUUUUGCUGUAAGAGGGGGAGAAGGGCUGGAGGCUCACGACGGUUUUUCUCCAAGAAUCUGGAGUUCGUGAAGGACACUUCCAAGAGGCGUUGAGUUCUCAUACGCUUAUCAGUCGAUUGAAGGAAAGAAGAAAAAGGAAAAAAAAAACUGAGUUCGCUGAAGCUGAGGCACCGUAGAUGCAAGAGACAUGGUUCCCCCACGUGCACCUGUCCACGAGUUUGCAGAGAGUGAGGAGAUUCCGGGAUUGGCCAGCCAGUCUUAUCCCAUGCGCAUUUCAACCCUUGGUGACCCUUUGCUUCUACGUUUAAUAAAGAAAAGUAAAUGUUUGCUUUC